AUUGAACGCUGGCGGCAUGCCUUACACAUGCAAGUCGAACGGUAACAGGUCUUCGGAUGCUGACGAGUGGCGAACGGGUGAGUAAUACAUCGGAACGUGCCUAGUAGUGGGGGAUAACUACUCGAAAGAGUGGCUAAUACCGCAUGAGAUCUACGGAUGAAAGCAGGGGAUCGCAAGACCUUGUGCUACUAGAGCGGCCGGUGGCAGAUUAGGUAGUUGGUGGGAUAAAAGCUUACCAAGCCGACGAUCUGUAGCUGGUCUGAGAGGACGAUCAGCCACACUGAGACUGAGACACGGACCAGACUCCUACAGGAGGCAGCAGUGGGGAAUUUUGGACAAUGGGCGCAAGCCUGAUCCAGCAAUGCCGCGUGCAGGAUGAAGGCCUUCGGGUUGUAAACUGCUUUUGUACGGAACGAAAAGCCCUGGGUUAAUACCCUGGGGUCAUGACGGUACCGUAAGAAUAAGCACCGGCUAACUACGUGCCAGCAGCCGCAGUAAAAC
rnacentral:rRNA from 1 species